AUAUCAAUAAGCGGAGGAAAAGAAACUAACAAGGAUUCCCCUAGUAACUGCGAGUGAAGCGGGAAAAGCUCAAAUUUAAAAUCUGGCGGUUCCGCCGUCCGAGUUGUAAUUUAGAGAAGUGCUAUCCGCGCUGGACCGUGUACAAGUCUCCUGGAAUGGAGCGUCAUAGAGGGUGAGAAUCCCGUCUUUGACACGGACUACCAGGGCAUUGUGAUACGCUCUCAAAGAGUCGAGUUGUUUGGGAUUGCAGCUCAAAAUGGGUGGUAAAUUCCAUCUAAAGCUAAAUAUUGGGGAGAGACCGAUAGCGAACAAGUACCGUGAGGGAAAGAUGAAAAGAACUUUGGAAAGAGAGUUAAACAGUAC
rnacentral:rRNA from 1 species